rnacentral:rRNA from 1 species
UACGUAGGGUGCGAGCGUUACUCGGAAUUACUGGGCGUAAAGCGUGCGCAGGCGGCGCCGCAAGUCAGGCGUGAAAUCCCCGAGCUUAACUUGGGAAUGGCGCUUGAAACUACGGUGCUGGAGUGUGGCAGAGGGAGGUGGAAUUCCACGUGUAGCGGUGAAAUGCGUAGAGAUGUGGAGGAACACCAGUGGCGAAGGCGACUUUCUGGCCUGUUCUUGACGCUGAGGCGCGAAAGCUAGGGGAGCAAACGGG